UGUUGGUGAGGAUGUGGAGAAAUUGAACCCAUUAUGCACUGCCAACAGGAGCGUAAAGUGAUGUGGCCACUGUGGAAGACAGUGUGGCAGUGCCUCAAAAAGUCACACAGAGAUUCUCUGCGAGCUAGCAGUCCCACUUCUCGGCUUCCACCCAAAAGAACUGAAAGCAGGGUCUCAAGCAGAAACGGGCACGUGGACGUUCACACACAGCAGUGCUACUCACAGUGGUCAAAAGGCAGAAGCAAACCAAGUGUCCAUCAGCGGAUGAAUGGAUAAAGUGUGGUCCAUCCAGACAACGGGACAGCAUCCAGCCUUAAAAAGGAAGGGAAUUCCAGCACCAAUUCUGACACCACAACACACGUGGACCUUGAGGACAUGAUGCUCCGUGAAAUAAGUCAGCCAUAAAGGGACAAAUACUGCGUAUUUUCUCUUACAGGAGGCGCCUAGAACAGCCAGAUUUAUAGAGACAGAAGGUAGAAUGGUGAUUGCCAGGGGCUGGGAGAAGAAAAUGGGGAGUUACUUGCUACGGGGACAGACUUUCAGUGAAGGGUGAUGAAAAUGUUCUGGAGAUGGAUGGUGGUGAUGGUUGCACAACAGUGUGAAUGAACCUAAUGUCACCAUACUGCACAUUGACAAAGGGUUCAGAUGGGGACACAAACCUUCCGACCAGAGCCCCACGUGACCAACUUUGACCAAUGGGAUGGCAGCGACCUGCAGUUGAGUCUUGAACCGCGCAUGCACAACAAACCUGCUCUCUCGCACGGCUGAAACAGCAAGGGAAAAACACACCUAGGGCCGCCUGCUGGUCCAAGGAGGACAAGAAACAUGGAGAAAACCUGGAUCCAACCCACAGCCUGGAGCCAAGCCCAGCCCAGAUCUGCUGAACCCCAACAACCCACAUAUGUGAAAGCAAAAAAUAAAUGCUUACUGUGGAAUGCCA